rnacentral:rRNA from 1 species
ACGACCCUGUGAAGGCAAGCAGAUCCCAAAAAUAACGUCUCAGUUCGGAUUGUAGUCUGCAACUCGACUACAUGAAGCUGGAAUCGCUAGUAAUCGCGAAUCAGCAUGUCGCGGUGAAUACGUUCCCGGGUCUUGUACACACCGCCCGUCACACCAUGGGAGUCGGAAAUGCCCGAAGCCAGUGACCCAACCAUAAGGAGGGAGCUGUCGAAGGUGGAGCCGGUGACUGGGGUGAAGUCGUAACAAGGUACC